rnacentral:rRNA from 1 species
CUAUGCGCCUUGCCAGCCCGCUCAGGUGUGCCAGCAGCCGCGGUAAUACGUAGGGGGCAAGCGUUAUCCGGAUUUACUGGGUGUAAAGGGAGCGUAGACGGCAGGGCAAGUCUGGAGUGAAAGGCGGGGGCUCAACCCCCGGACUGCUCUGGAAACUGCCAGGCUGGAGUGCAGGAGAGGUAAGUGGAAUUCCUAGUGUAGCGGUGAAAUGCGUAGAUAUUAGGAGGAACACCAGUGGCGAAGGCGGCCUGCUGGACUGCAACUGACGUUGAGGCUCGAAGGCGUGGGGAGCAAACAGG